AAAAAAUUAGUUAAAAAAUAACAAUAUAAUGUCAUUAUAUAAUUAUUAUAAGAAUAAUAUUUUUUU
rnacentral:tRNA from 1 species